rnacentral:misc_RNA from 1 species
UACGGAGGGUGCAAGCGUUAUCCGGAAUUAUUGGGCGUAAAGCGUCCGUAGGUGGUUAUUCAAGUCAGUUGUUAAAACGUGGAGCUUAACUCCAUAAGGGCAAUUGAAACUGAAUGGCUAGAGUGCGAUAGGGGCAAGGGGAAUUCCCAGUGUAGCGGUGAAAUGCGUAGAGAUCGGGAAGAACACCGGUGGCGAAAGCGCUCUGCUGGGCCGCGACUGACACUCACAGGACGAAAGCUAGGGGAGCGAAUGGG